rnacentral:rRNA from 1 species
UCUUCGGAGAGUUUGAUCCUGGCUCAGGACGAACGCUGGCGGCGUGCCUAAUACAUGCAAGUCGAGCGAAUCGAUGGGAGCUUGCUCCCUGAGAUUAGCGGCGGACGGGUGAGUAAC